UAUGUAGGCGGUUUAUUAUGUUGAAGGUGAAAUCCCAAAGCUUAACUUUGGAAUGGCUUUCAAAACGGAUAGACUUGAGGUCGAAAGAGGAUAGUGGAAUUUCUAGUGUAGAGAUAGAAUUCAUAAAUAUUAGAAGGAACACCAGUGGCGAAGGCGACUAUCUGGACGAAUACUGACGCUGAGGCGCGAAAGCGUGGGGAGCAAACA
rnacentral:rRNA from 1 species